GUUCUUUCCAAUUUUACUCGCGAUCCCAGACGGACGUCUGAGGAAAAUACUCAAGUAGUGCAGUGAAAGGAAAAAUUCUAACCUCGACCGUAAUUACCGCGUGUCCAUCGUGGCUAAGAUCUAGUCAAAAGAUCAGCCGACCAUUCCUACGUUUAUUAAGCGAAGGCCGAACCCAUCGGGUUUGGCCGUACGUAAUACCGUACGAAACGCCGGUCGUAGUGCCGUAAGCCAUACCCACUACAGUCUCGUCACCUUACCACACAUAUAAAUACCCAGCGUCCCGAUCGACUACAGUAUGUG